rnacentral:rRNA from 1 species
GAUGAACGCUAGCUACAGGCUUAACACAUGCAAGUCGAUGGACCGGCGCCCGGGUGAGUAACACGUAUCCAACCUGCCCUUUACUCGGGGAUAGCCUUUCGAAAGAAAGAUUAAUACCCGAUAUAACGGAUGGGGAUGCGUUCCAUUAGGUUGUUGGUGAGAUAACGGCUCACCAAGCCUUCGAUGGAUAUGGGUUAUGAGCGCAAGGUCCCCCACAUUGGAACUUAAACACGGUCUACACUCUUACGGGAGGCAGCAGUUAGGAAUAGUGGUAAAUGGUCGCUAGCCUGAACCAUCCAAGUAGCUUGAAGGAUUAAGUCUUAUGUGUCGUAAACUUCUUUUAUAUAAGAAUCUGUAUUAUAUGAAUAAGGAUCGGCGAACUCCGUGCCAGCAGCCGCGGUAAUUC